GGAACCCGCCUUCGGGCGGGGAGUAGAGUGGCGAACGGGUGAGUAACGCGUGGGUGAUCUGCCCUUCAGAGGGGGAUAACCCGCCGAAAGGCGGGCUAAUACCGCAUGAGCCUGCAGGGUCGCAACUGCAGGGAAAAGCGAAAGUUGCUGAAGGAGGAGCCCGCGUCCGAUUAGCUAGUUGGAGAGGUAAGAGCUCCCCAAGGCGACGAUCGGUAGCCGGUCUGAGAGGACGGACGGCCACACUGGGACUGAGACACGGCCCAGACUCCUACGGGAGGCAGCAGUGGGGAAUUUUGGGCAAUGGGCGAAAGCCUGACCCAGCAACGCCGCGUGGAGGACGAAGAUCUUCGGGUCGUAAACUCCUGUCCGAAGGGACGAAGACAGUGACGGUACCUUUGGAGGAAGCCCCGGCUAACUCCGUGCCAGCAGCCGCGGUAAUACGGGGGGGGCAAGCGUUGUUCGGAAUUACUGGGCGUAAAGGGCGCGUAGGCGGUUUCGGUAGUCAUGGGUGAAAGCCCCCGGCUCAACCGGGGAAUGGCCUGUGAAACCACGGGACUGGAGUGCUGGAGAGGGAAGCGGAAUUCCCAGUGUAGCGGUGAAAUGCGUAGAUAUUGGGAGGAACACCGGAGGCGAAGGCGGCUUCCUGGACAGACACUGACGCUGAGGCGCGAAAGCCAGGGGAGCAAACGGGAUUAGAUACCCCGGUAGUCCUGGCUGUAAACGAUGAACACUUGGUGUGGGGGGUAGGACGAAUCCCUCCGUGCCGGAGAUAACUCGAUAAGUGUUCCGCCUGGGGAGUAC
rnacentral:rRNA from 1 species